rnacentral:lncRNA from 1 species
GGGCACUGGGGCAGGAGGAGGUGACAAGGACAGGGCAGCCAGCAAGGACAUGGUCCCCUGAUGUCACUGAGGCAGGAAAAGGUGACAAGGACAGCCAAGGGUGGGCUGUGACAAUGACAUUGUCCCUGAUGUCACUGAGGCAGGAAAAGGUGACAAGGACAGCCAAGGGACCUGUGUGCUGUUCCCAGGGAGGGAAGCAGUGCUGGCCCCACAGGAUCCCUCUGUGGGGUUUUUCUGGCUGCCCUAAGCGCUCUGACCCCAGAGGAUUCUCAGUUACACAUCAUUUAAUCACCCCAGCUCCUGCCAGCUGCUGUCUGCUCAGAUGAGUUCCCAGCUGCUCUAAUGCCCUAGGAAGGCUGACCAGGAGGUCAGACAGAGCUAAAGAAUAAAGCAGGAUUUAUUGAGAGGCCUCAGUAGAUCCACCUUGGGCAGCACAAGAGCCCAGCCAGGGCUACACCCAAGAUGAAUCAAAACUGUCACAAAAAUGGUCAGCUUGUCACAGGGUGUCUCAUUUUUAUAAGUUCUUGUGCUCCAUUUGCAUAUUGGAGUUAAUUAUCCAAUUCCAGCUCCAGCCCAUGCAGUCCCAUCCUGCUUGUUUUCUCUCUUUGGUCCGUGCUGUUUGUGCUCUUGGGGCUGAGAUUUGGAUCACUGGUCCUUGGUCCCAGCCAGAGCAGGAAUUGUUUUGUCUCCCUGCUCUGUGCAGAGCGCUCACCAACUCCUGAUAUGAAUCCCAGACCCACACACUAAAGCAGCACAGGAUGUGAGAAUACAAAAGCCAAACCUGAGGCAUCAGUUUUGUUCUCUCCCCCACCCCAUUCCUCAUUCCCUUUUCCUCCCUGACCUGAUCCCUGUCCCAAAGGGGCCCUGUGGGACCGGGCUGGCCCCAGAGCAGGUGACAGGCAGCACGAGGAAGGGCAGAUGGGACUCGGGAAGAAAGGGAAGCUGUUCCCUGCCCAGCCCAGUGGAAAAAUGAGCCAAAGAAUCUCAGGGGACAUGUGGGAAUCCAGGGCUUCCCUCUGGCUGCCCUGGCAGGUCUGGGACCCUUCAGGGGUCAGGAACCCCCCUGGACAGAGCCCCCAGAGACACUGUCUGUGAUCUCUGUCCGUGGAAAAGAGUUUUCAAUCUUACAGGAUGAAUUACAAGCUCUGAGUGUUUGAUAUAAGUAAUAAUUAAGUGUGGCAUGGGUGCAAAAGUAAAAUUUUAGGAUUCUAGAUAAGGGGUUCAAAGGGGACAAGAUGGAGGAAAUUGGGUGUGCCUUGUCCUUUUUCUCCUUCUUCAUGCCCUCCAUGUUUCACUGUGGUGUUGGCAUUUUUCUGUUGGUUCAGGCUGGGGACACACUGUCCAACGUAGGUGACAGAUAUUGGCACGUUAUUGUAAAUCCAGCACAGGUAGUUUGUGGUAUUUAAUGUUUGUACCAUCCCACUGAGGGCAGAGCCCCACACGCUGCCCUGCAGGACAGAGCUGCGGCAGGGCAGCAGAACAUGUUAGAGAUAAACAGAAUAAACAACCUU